rnacentral:rRNA from 1 species
UGGGGAAUAUUGCACUAUGGGCGAAUGCCUGAUGCAGCGACGCCGCGUGAGGGAUGAAGGCCUUCGGGUUGUAAACCUCUUUCAGCAAGGAAGAAGCGAAAGUGACGGUACCUGCAGAAGAAGCACCGGCUAACUACGUGCCAGCAGCCGCGGUAAUACGUAGGGUGCAAGCGUUGUCCGGAAUUAUUGGGCGUAAAGAGCUCGUAGGCGGUUUGUCGCGUCUGCUGUGAAAACUCAGGGCUUAACCCUGAGCCUGCAGUGGGUACGGGCAGACUAGAGUGUGGUAGGGGAGAUCGGAAUUCCUGGUGUAGCGGUGGAAUGCGCAGAUAUCAGGAGGAACACCGGUGGCGAAGGCGGAUCUCUGGGCCAUAACUGACGCUGAGGAGCGAAAGCAUGGGGAGCGAACA